AGGGCCUACGGGGGGCAGCAGUGAGGAAUAUUGGUCAAUGGGCGGAAGCCUGAACCAGCCAAGUCGCGUGAGGGAAUAAGGCCCUACGGGUCGUAAACCUCUUUUGCUGGGGAGCAAGGGCCGGGACGCGUCCCGGCCCGGAGAGUACCUGGAGAAAAAGCAUCGGCUAACUCCGUGCCAGCAGCCGCGGUAAUACGGAGGAUGCGAGCGUUAUCCGGAUUUAUUGGGUUUAAAGGGUGCGUAGGCGGGCUUUUA
rnacentral:rRNA from 1 species